rnacentral:rRNA from 1 species
UACGUAGGGGGCAAGCGUUGUCCGGAAUCAUUGGGCGUAAAGAGCGUGUAGGCGGUCCGGUAAGUCGGCUGUGAAAGUCCAGGGCUCAACCCUGGGAUGCCGGUCGAUACUGCCGGACUAGAGUUCGGAAGAGGCGAGUGGAAUUCCCGGUGUAGCGGUGAAAUGCGCAGAUAUCAGGAGGAACACCGAUGGCGAAGGCAGGUCUCUGGGCCACUACUGACGCUGAGAAGCGAAAGCAUGGGGAGCGAACAGG